CGGGUGAGUAAUGCUUGGGAAUCUAGCUUAUGGAGGGGGAUAACUACAGGAAACUGUAGCUAAUACCGCGUAAUAUCGAAAGAUUAAAGUGUGGGACCUUCGGGCCACAUGCCAUAGGAUGAGCCCAAGUGGGAUUAGGUAGUUGGUGAGGUAAAGGCUCACCAAGCCGACGAUCUCUAGCUGGUCUGAGAGGAUGACCAGCCACACUGGGACUGAGACACGGCCCAG
rnacentral:rRNA from 1 species